GUGGCCAUAUUCUGAAUCCCCAAGAAGAGGACACUCCCACACGGGGGCAGAGUCACGGGUCACGCAAAGUAAAUUUUGUGAGUUUUUUGGGUCGGGUCAAAUGUUUUUUAUGUGCUUCUAAUUCAGUAAGUCCAUGCGACACAAAUUCAAAACUUUCAUACAAAACCCCAGACAUUUGAAGAAUUUUAUAAACUCUUCCAGACAAAGCCAGACUGCCCCCAAAUAGAGGACAUGUCCGGGUAAAAGGGGAUGUAUGGUCACCCUACUGUUAACACUUUAAUGAGACUAAUCUGUAGCUCAAACCUGCUGAUUGCCAAUGAAGUUGGUGUCGGUAAAAGCAACACCAAAGCACAGCCUGAUCACACAUGCCACAACAUCAGAAUAAUCAAGGUAAAAGAGUCAAGGACACGUUACGGCUGCCUGUCGACACUGUGGCAAAAACUGUACUUUUACAUGACGGUUAGCACUGUGGCUAAAUAUCAAGAUAAUCCUAGUCUGGAAUUAGCCUGAACUAACUCCAAAAUAGAGAAAUGGAGCUCUAGUCCUGCAAUCCAGGCAACAGCAGCAGAGCUGUUGAGAACAUCUCUGAGCUACCAACUGCUACAAAGUAACUUCAGUCGUUAGCAGUAGUCUUAAUACCAACAAUGUAAUACAAAGAAAGUAUCCCCCUCAUAUAAUUUAGGUUUAAAAGGCGGGUGAAUCAAGACGAUAGACUGUAUGUACUAUGGACAACUUGGCUCCGCCCUCCGUCAUUAUACGAAUUUGAAGCAAAAUCGCUCUCGUUAUUUCCGGGACUUUUUUUCCCACUUCCUGUAACCACUGUUUGCACAGUAGCGUUGUAUGCAUUAGGCAGGAGAGUCACUGUGAUGAUGCUCAGCUACACAAUCUCCACAUGCCCAUAGGUUGUAUAAGGGGUAAAUAACUUUUAAAACGGAGCUGCACAGAAGAAAGAGGACUUGAGCACAAACCAGUCUGACAGUAACUACAUGUCAACAUCGCAACCAGGGGGGAGAAAAAUUGAUAUUCUGUGUAAUUAAUUUCUAAAGUUUGUCCACAAAUCCAUAGGGAUUGCUAGAGGAGGUGGGAUUUAUGACCUAUACUGCAGCCCGUCACCAGAGGGUGCUGUUCUCACGGUUGCUUCACCCAGCGAGGAGUCAGACAGCGUCCAUUCUAUACACAGUCUAUGAUUGAGACCUUUCUUGCUCGCCCGGUCAGGAUUGUAGGCCGAUCUGAACACUGGAUGUGCUCACGUGUCGUAAAUCAUGCGUCUUUUUCAACAUCUAAAACUGUUCUUGCGUGUGUUUUAUCAAAACUGUACAAAAAAGGCAGUUAUUUUAAAAAUACACGCUUCUAUCGUGAAACACGUCUCUGUACCCUGAGGUAACAAAAACACAUUUUCCUCUACAUUUCUUUAAGCGAAACAAGAAGAAGCUCCAUGUACCAGAGGUCAGAGCAGGGGGUCUCUGCUGUCACCCCUCUCUGUCUUCUGAUUUUGGAAACCCGUCAACGCAGCACUUGAUCUUUGUUCGGUGUAGGAGUAGACUGACUAGCAAAGAAAUUCACAGCCAGUGUCGAGCACCAAAGGACAAGAGAUCAGCCUAAAUCAAUAUUUAAAAACUCAGACUGCACUUACAUAGAUAGUACGAUAUAGAGUGCUUUCAAGUAUAUAUAGCACCUUAUCUUACAUUCUUCCCCGAGCGAGGUUUCAUGAUGACUUUGAAAAUGAACUCCUGAAAUACACCUAGGCAGUCUGCGGCGUGUAUUUGUUGUAAACCUAUUAAAAAGAGGAACGUUUUAUUUAGUGUCUGAGCAUUCAACACCCACAAACAUAAACACUUCAUCAGGUAAAAAAAAGAGUAUCUGUGACAUCUGUUCUUUCGCUCAUCAACCAAACAUAAACACAUAUGAGUUAGAAUUUGAGUGACUGCUCCACAGCAUACAGGGAACAGGAUGUGUGGGUUAUGCCGCUGCUAUUUUCAACACCUCCAAAGUUUUUCAAAAGUUCCUCGCUGGCAGCAUGUCAAAAAAGAGACUCGGUGUACCUUCUUCUCUUUUUUCACAUCGGUGCCUGGAGAAUGACAGCAUGAAAUACCAAAAGACAGAACAGGCGGCCCUCGUUCUGAGUGGCUGCUGGAAAUGGCACCGAGAGACAGAAAAAAAAAAGAGGGGUAUCAAACUUUUAAAUGCUAUCUGGAGAAAAGACAAGGGAAGGAAGCAGCUCCUCUGUGUUAGCUUGAUAGGGCCUGGGAAAAAAACAUGGCAUCUAAGACAUCUAGUUUUCUGAGACUGGUGUCAGGGGAGGUGAGCCUCUCAAGCUCCAGACGCCAAUUAUGGGGAGCCUCGCCUAAGCAGGUAACGAAUGGAGCCCUGCUCCUCGAUGCUAAUGAAAGUCCUAAUUAUUUCCCACAAAGCAUCUGGGAUUGACAGAGCGGGUUUCCGAGGGGAUUGACUCCUUGUAACUUCAUGCCAAAUGCCGACAGGAGCUUGAGGAGAAAUCGUUGGACUGAUAGGUACCUGGAGGGUGAGGAAGGACUGGGCGCUUAUGGACGGAUACAUACAUAGACAUGGAGACAGAAAAAGAAAGAGAAGAAGCGAAGUUAGGAAAAGAGACAAGGUGUGGGCUGGAGGACGGCAGGACGGGCCUUCAGUCACCAGAAAAAGAAAUGCAAUAGGAGGUAAUCUGUAGUCACAAAGAGCGCCCUGCUAAGUUUCACUGAGGGUCCCAGGGGAGCUGUCAUGCUUUAACCGCCGCUGUUGCCUUCUAAAAGCUUGAUGUAAUGCCGAGGAGGAAUUAGACCACUGUGUGUGUGUGUGUGUGUGUGUGUGUGUGUGUAAGAGAGUUGAGAGUGUAAGUUAGACCGUGUAUGACCUCCCUGCUUGACAAGCCUGAACAGUCACAGCAAAUAAUCAAGCCCAUUAACAAAGACUUCUGUUAUUGGCUCUGGAGCUGAGAAGUGAGUACGGGUCAAAUGACAAUCGUUUCAUGAGCCUUGGAUGGAAGAACCACACACACACACAUACACAUACACAUACACACACACUUAGACACACACACACACACACACACACACAGCCAAACUAUACAAGCAAGAAAAUAGAAACUGCAUUGAGAUCAUUAGCAACCACACAUUGAACUAGAGCCAUAUUUCAAGCAGCUUAUUACUCAGAGCUACAACACUGCUAACCAGUGGUAGGCGGUAACAAAGUAUGAUAUACUAAGCCCCAAUUUUCACCACAUCCGGAAUGGCUCCGAUUCAGAACAGUGGCAAUUUUCGCAAUUUGCCAAUUCCUACCGGAUCUGUUUGUGAGGCCAAUUUCGUAGCGGAUUACGGACAGCAGGAAUCGCAAUAACUCACAAGAACCCGCGGAUUCACGUGCAAUCGCGCAAUAACAAGUUGUCUUUAGCCACAUAGGCUAACCAUAUUAGCCAUAACCUAAUUGUGUCCUUCCAGAAGAAGAAAUCUACUUCUAGACUAAAAUCAGCAUCUCCUCAUCCAUGGUAUCAUCGGGAUUGAAUGCUGUCUACAAACCUUUUACUUGUUCGUCUCCGCCCGUUUGCAUGGUGUGAAAUAGGAUCCGUCUGAAACAGGGAGUAUUUUAUUUUGAAAAGAAGCCGGAUGUUUUAUAUUGUGUCUCUGUCUUACUUCCUUUCCAGCAUGGGUUAAUCUGUGUGGAAUUUAUCUAGCAUGCUCCGGCAUCCAGAAUCAGCCGUGGAGUCCGGCGAAAGAAGCCAGUGGAAAUUGACACAUCAAGUUAAAUGGCUACAAUCAGCUGCGAUCGGCAGAUAUGGCCUUGUCGUAUCCGUUCUGGAUGCAGCGGAAAUUGGAGGUUAGGGUGACCAUACGUCCUCUUUUACCCGGACAUGUCUGGACAUGACUUACUGAGUUAGAAUUGCGUAAAAGACACUCAAUCCGACCUGAAAAACUCUCAAAAUUAACUACGCACGACUUCAUGAUUCCGCCUCCGCGUAGUUGUGUCCUCUUUUGGGGGAUUUAGAAUAUGGUCACCCUAGAUAUACUAUACUUGAUUACAUUGCUUUGGUAUCUUAUUUGGGUGGGUUUGUUUCUGAAUGUGAUUGUAGAUCCACGACAAGUUUAUGUCCCACAGGGUUAUGAAAGAGUAACAGAAUUUCCAAACACAGAAACAGCUAUCCUGCAAAACAACCAGGCUUUAUCUGGUGUUUGUGAAACUGGCUUCAUUAAAAACUCGCAUAAAUACAUACAAUUAAGAAAAACUUAGAUGUGAUCUCUUUACAGCAAUUACUUUGACUUGGUUGAAAUAAAAAAGUUUACAUCAGACGUGUAGGUACAGGAAGAGGAGAGAAAAAGCAAGACGAGCAUAUUUGCAUGCCUAUGUGCACUUAUAAUAUAUACUGUGCAAACACACACACACACAUAUGUAUGUGAGUAUUUUACAGCAAAUGCAUGAAAGUUUGAAUCUGUUAUCCAUAAUAUGAAAUUAUCCCGUCAGAUCAUUUGAUGGUGAGUUACAAAGGGGGACAAGCCAGCUCGGAUAAGAAUCUGUACAACAAAGACAAAGGCAUCUUCAUGACAAUGAAUGCACACACAUACACACACUGCACACCCACACAGUGCCAUUGUUUUCUCAGUGCACAUCCCUGCAGCAUAUUUACUGCAUCAGCUGUCAGUGAUUGCUCACUUUCCCAUGUGUAAAUUCUACCUCCGUGAUUCCCAGAUUUCUCCAGACUUUUCCCUCCGGAGCCCUUAACGGCUGACCUGGCCAGUGCUUAGCACUUGUUAUGUGUGCAUUGAGCACAUUGGUGAUUAAUUAAAGCAAUCUAUCUUGAGCUCCAGAGGGGAAUCAAGAUACUGUUGGAAAGAUUAGUGGCUGAGGCGGUCAUAAGGGGGUCUACAGCGGUGCAGUCCCUGAGGGUAAGAAACCGCUCUGUCCGCGGAGAAUACCGUACCGACACGAUUCAUUAAUCUUCCUGUUUUCUUUUACAUACCUGUGAAAUGUUUGUAUAUUCAUGAAAGAAUACCAAAAAGCAGGAAACAAGGGUAACAGAAAUAUCUCUUUUUGUGCGUACCAGAUUCCUUCACACGUCAAACUUUGUCUAUUUUUGGAAAAGGUUGGCGUGAUUGAGAAACGUGCAAUUUCAGCCCAUCCAUAAUAGAUUGGAACAAACUAGCAUGGGAGAAGACUUCAAUAUCACAGGAAUUUUGAUUCCGUGCAGGUUGCGACCAAAAAGUGAAGAUGCUGUAGUGUGUAAAAAUCCCUUCUCUCAGUGCCUCCUUCUGGCAACGCAGCAAUCCCAUUCCAGUUAAUUCUCUUCUUGUGUCCUUUCAUCCAUAAUUAAAAUAACAAGCAACUAAUUACUUUUGAAUAAUGUCAGGCCAGUCAGGCAGGUUGCACAAUCCCUCUCCAUAAUUAAAGUGCACCCAACAGUUUGGCAGACAUUCCCCUCAUAGCCACAUCACUGUGCGUUGUUUCAGUGAAGCAGUGUAAGGGCCAACCCUCUGGAAAAAAAAUAACUUUUAAAUACUCCAGGGUCUGUCUGACUGACUGUCAGCUAGCUUUCAGACACUCUGGGCUUGAGUUACUUGAGGUUUGGAAAUGCAACAAGGUCUUUUCUGAAGUGCCCUCAGGGCAAAGAACACUGUAACAGCAGGUCGGGGAUUCAACAGUCUGGAUAUACCCCUUUACUGUGUGUCAGCCAAAUAAAUAAAGGAAGAAAAGUGCAACAGAGACAAAGAGAUUGUUGCACACUGUAUCCACUGUUCUGAUGCAAUACAGCCUGGAUGGCCUUGAGAGAUGGUGUCUUAGAAAAAGGAUCAUAGCUAAAAAAAAAAAAAACACACAUAUGGACUUUUCUUCAUGGCUAUCUGUGAGAAACUUUUCUCUCUAUACUCUGAAUUUACUUCCAGUUCACUUUGCCAAGAAUUUCUCCUUUAUUAGUUUUAUUUUUAUCACUGAAUCCCAAUGAAAUUUCAAGUUAAGCUGAAAGC